rnacentral:rRNA from 1 species
UACGUAGGUGGCAAGCGUUGUCCGGAUUUAUUGGGUUUAAAGGGUGCGUAGGCGGCCUUGUAAGUCAGUGCUGAAAUAUCCCGGCUUAACCGGGAGGGUGGCAUUGAUACUGCAGGGCUUGAGUAAAGUUGAGGUUGGCGGAAUUGACGGUGUAGCGGUGAAAUGCUUAGAUAUCAAGUGGAACACCAGUGGCGAAGGCGAAUCCCUGGAAAAUACCUGACACUGAGGCACGAAGGCUAGGGGAGCAAACAGG